rnacentral:rRNA from 1 species
CCUACGGGAGGCAGCAGUGAGGAAUAUUAGUCAAUGGGCGCAAGCCUGAACCAGCCAUGCCGCGUGCAGGAUGACGGUCCUAUGGAUUGUAAACUGCUUUUGUACGGGAAGAAAACACAUUACGUGUAAUGUACUGACGGUACCGUAAGAAUAAGGAUCGGCUAACUCCGUGCCAGCAGCCGCGGUAAU